UGAGGAAUUUUGAACAAUGGGCGCAAGCCUGAUCCAGCAAUGCCGCGUGCAGGAUGAAGGCCUUCGGGUUGUAAACUGCUUUUGUACGGAACGAAAAGGCUCUGGUUAAUACCUGGGGCUCAUGACGGUACCGUAAGAAUAAGCACCGGCUAACUACGUGCCAGCAGCCGCGGUAAUACGUAGGGUGCAAGCGUUAAUCGGAAUUACUGGGCGUAAAGCGUGCGCAGGCGGUUAUGUAAGACAGAUGUGAAAUCCCCGGGCUCAACCUGGGACCUGCAUUUGUGACUGCAUGGCUAGAGUACGGCAGAGGGGGAUGGAAUUCCGCGUGUAGCAGUGAAAUGCGUAGAUAUGCGGAGGAACACCGGUGGCGAAGGCAAUCCCGUGGGCCUGUACUGACGCUCAUGCACGAAAGCGUGGGGAGCAAACA
rnacentral:rRNA from 1 species